UCCCUGGUAGCCAGCGGCCAAGACUCUGCACUCCCAAUGCAGGAGACCCAGGUUUGAUCCCUGGUCAGGGAA
rnacentral:tRNA from 1 species